CGGCUAACUCCGUACCAGCAGCCGCGGUAAUACGGAGGGUGCGAGCGUUAAUCGGAAUUACUGGGCGUAAAGGGCACGCAGGCGGUUAAUUAAGUUGGAUGUGAAAUCCCCGGGCUUAACCUGGGAAUGGCAUUCAAGACUGGUUAGCUAGAGUCUUGUAAAGGGGGGUAGAAUUCCAUGUGUAGCGGUGAAAUGCGUAGAGAUAUGGAGGAAUACCGGUGGCGAAGGCGGCCCCCUGGACAAAGACUGACGCUCAUGUGCGAAAGCGUGGGGAGCAAACAGGAUUAGAUACCCUGGUAGUCCACGCUGUAAACGAUGUCGAUUUGGAGGUUGUGGUCAUGAACUGUGGCCUCCGGAGCUAACGCGUUAAAUCGACCGCCUGGGGAGUACGGCCGCAAGGCUAAAACUCAAAUGAAUUGACGGGGGCCCGCACAAGCGGUGGAGCAUGUGGUUUAAUUCGAUGCAACGCGAAGAACCUUACCUACUCUUGACAUCCAGCGAAUCCUUUAGAGAUAGAGGAGUGCCUUCGGGAGCGCUGAGACAGGUGCUGCAUGGCUGUCGUCAGCUCGUGUUGUGAAAUGUUGGGUUAAGUCCCGCAACGAGCGCAACCCUUAUCCUUUGUUGCCAGCG
rnacentral:rRNA from 1 species